UACGCCAGUGCGUUGCCUACCCUUCAGGU
rnacentral:sRNA from 1 species